rnacentral:rRNA from 1 species
AUGGCCUCCUUCUUGCAGCUCCCGCCGCCCGCCGCAUCGUCGCCCUCGCCGGAGCUGGCUGGCGAGCAGCACGGCUCGCGGCUUGCGUUGCAGCAGCUCCUGGCCGUUCCGCCGCCGUCGGCGCAGCAGCAGCAGCAGCGCAGGGAGAUCUCGCCGGCGGACGCCGCGACCAUCAAGGCCAAGAUCAUGGCGCACCCGCUCUACUCGCCGCUCCUCGCCUCCUACCUGGACUGCCAGAAGGUCGGCGCCCCGCCGGAGGUGCUGGAGAGGCUCUCGGCCGUGGCGGCGAAGCUGGACGCCGGGCAUGGCCGGGGGAAGCACGAGUCCCCGCGCCCCGACCCGGAGCUCGACCAGUUCAUGGAGGCCUACUGCAACAUGCUGGCGAAGUACAGGGAGGAGCUGGCGCGGCCGAUCCAGGAGGCCACGGAGUUCUUCAAGAGCGUCGAGACGCAGCUCGAUUCCAUCACAUUCACAGACAGUACUAAUUGCGAAGGCGCGGGGUCGUCCGAGGAUGAGCUGGACACGAGCUGCGUGGAGGAGAUCGACCCCAGCGCGGAGGACAAGGAGCUGAAGCACCAGCUGCUGAGGAAAUACGGCGGCUACGUGGGGAGCCUCCGCCAGGAGUUCUGCAAGCGGCGCAAGAAGGGGAAGCUCCCCAAGGAGGCCCGCCAGAAGCUGCUGCACUGGUGGGAGCUGCACUCCAAGUGGCCCUACCCCUCUGAGACGGAGAAGAUCGCGCUGGCGGAGUCGACGGGGCUGGACCAGAAGCAGAUCAACAACUGGUUCAUCAACCAGAGGAAGCGGCACUGGAAGCCGGCGCCGGAGGACAUGCCCUUCUCCGUGAUGGACGGCGGCGUGGGCGUGAGCUUCCUCCCCGCCCCGCAGGGCCCGGCGCUGUACAUGGACAGGGCGCCGUUCAUGGUGGACGGCAUGUACCGCCUCGGGUCGUGA